AGGCAUGGCCGACUUUGAAGCCAGUAGCCCAGACCCCUCGCCGCAGCCGCCAGCAUGCUCAGUUACAGGUACACACAGCCACUUUCAGAUUUGAGGAGUACCCAAGACACUCCCUUGGGGCCCGGCUAGUACCAGGGGCCCGGCCGCGGCAUCCGCCGAUGAUAGAACAGCGCUGCACAUUAAAAGUACAUCUGUGCAGGCCAGGCCCCAGCAGGCUGUCGGCGCACAUGAUCGGACAGCUGCCGCUCGAAGCCUGCACCUGCUCGCCCACAUUAUGCUCCGUCAGUCACAGACAGAGCGGAUUUUAUGAUGAGCGAUAGAGGCGGUCGUCCUGCUGUCACACAUAAUUGAUCACAGGCACUGCCUCACUUGGCCUCCAGGAGCCGACCGCCGCCUCUCCGUCUCCUUUGAGAGUUCUCUGGCAGAAUCAGGGAGGCGCCGCCAGCAGGAUUCUGGACGUGCGGCCCCCUCCCUCAGCAGCCGCUUCAGACUGACUUCUCCAAGUUGCCGCCAGGUCACGCACUGCCUGGACCUCCUCCACAGCACGGCUCUCUUCUCUACAGUGGGCCUGCUAUGUUCCCUAACAGGAGACCCGGCCAGCACAGCUCGUCUCUCUAGCAGGCCUCUCACGGUCAGUGAGUCCCCUUUCAUAAAUUCUCCUCUGGGGAGUGGCGCACGCAGGGGGGGUUUCCGAGUACCUGGAAACCCCCCCUGAUGAGCCGAGUUAUCUUUUUGAGACAGAGACACAGGAGACACAGCUGGAAGAAAAAAAAAAAAAAAAAAGACGCGAUCGCGGGGUGCGGAGCUGCAGCAACUACAGAAAGCUAAAGGCCAGUACUCACGGCCCGAUGCAGCUCUCUGCUUACAGUCAUGAAUGUCCCGGGCCGGCAGCUCCCUCCGUCCUCACACAUUCGCCCCUCUGCCUCCAGCCCACUGUGUACACUAUAUAAGUCCUAGGACAUAGAGGCACAGACCGCACUUCAGCAGCACAAUUUAGAGAACCAGUCCUCCACCAAGGUACCAGUAUACCAGUAGCACAGCAAUGGCGCCUGGGAUCACUCUAAAGAAGGAUGGCCAUCGGUGUACACCUCCAUGCCUGUUCCUGCUCCUUCUCAUCAGGGGUGUGAGGGGAACCAUUGAUCUGCUGUCAUACAAGCAAUGCAUGCUGACAGGAGUCGUAGAAGAACGCUCACAGCAGAAGAGCCGGUGACAGGCAGGGGAAAGACAACCUGCCAGUAUCUGUGGAAAACAGCGCUCCUCAGGAGAGAGAGCAGAUCUAGAGAGCUCGGUAUGUGUGUGUUGGGGGGGGAGCGGUAUUUAACACACAUGCAGCACAUGACACUCAUAUACACGUGCAACACCUGACACACACAAAGGCAGCACCUGACUCUCAUAUACACACAUGCAUAACAUCAGACACACUAAUCUACACAUGCAGCAACUGACACACACACAAGGCAUUUAACACGCACAGAACCUGACACACACAUAUACACUCGCACCACCUGACACACACACAUACACUCGCACCACCUGACACACUCUUAUAUACACGCGCAUCACCUAACACACACAUAUACAUGUGCUGCACCUGACACACACACAUAAUGUAGACGUGCAACACCUGACACAUGCACAACAGCUGGCACACUAAUAUAAACAUGCAGCGUCUGACACACACAUAGACAGGCAGCACCUGACACAUACAUAGACGUGGCAUUUAAUACACACACAGCACCUAACACACAUACACUUGCAGCACCACACACACACACACACACAUAUAUACAUGCACAGCACCUGCCACUCAUAUACACCCAAAGCAUCUGCCACUCACUACAUAUACACACAGCAUCUGCCACUCACACACACAUACACACAGCACCUGACACACAUGUAUAUACACGCAGCACCUGACACACGUAUAUACACGCAGAGCACCUGAAACACACACACACAGCACCUACAUAUACACGCGCAGCACCUCACAGCCACACACAUAUAUACACGCGCAACACCUUAUACACACAUAUAUACACGCACAACACCUGACACACACACGCACGGCAACUGAUACAGGCACAUUAUCAGACACACUAAUAUACACAUGCAGUACUUGGCACACACAUAAAUGCAUGUAGCAUUUAACACACAUAUACAUGUGCGGCACCUGACAAACACGUGGCACCUCACACAACUGACACACAUGUGUACGUACAUGUGCGACACCUGAUGCACACACAAGACACCUGACACACACACACACACACACACGUGCGACACCUGACAUGCACGUGUACGUACACGUGCGACACCUGAUGCACAUGCACGACACCUGAUGCGCACACACGUGUAUAUACACGCGCGACACCUGACGUGCAUGUGCACAUAUGUGUACGUACAUGCGCAACACCUGACGCGCACAUAUGUGUACGUACAUGUGCGGCGCCUGACGUGUGUACGUACACGUGCGACGCCUGACACACACACACGUGUGUACGUACACGCCUGACACACAGACACACACACACGCGCGUCACCUGAAACGCGCACGCUUACGUACACAUGCGACACAUGACACACACAUGCACGUACACACGUGACACCUGACACACGCGCGUGUACGUACUCGCGCGACACCUGACAAAUGCGCGUGUAUGUACACGUGUGACACCUGACACACACGCGCGACACCUGACACACAAGCGUGUA